CGUCAAAUGCGAUGAGACCCAUUUGCCCGCGGAGUGUACCCAAACACAAGACUAGCCUGUUAGCUGCGUAUUGCAGCGAGACUCAUUUCGCCAACUACCAGGGCUGCGAAUGUUAUCCGCGGAGAACUUUAACGGCCGCCCAAUCCUAGCGAUUAUGACGUCCGAUGGCCACCCCGGAUGCUACCAUUAGCCAACUAUAUCCUAUACACUUCGCUUGAGAGCGAGGCCUAAUACGGACUUCGUUACUUAACAACAAGAACAGCACUCGCACCUAACUUUACGCUAAUUGUUAGCUAUUUGGAUGACAUAUCCCUUGACCAUUCUCGAGGCCGUAAAAUGCUUAGAAUUUGUUUGCACUCCUUUUUAAUUCCUUAUGCUUAAUUACAUCCGAUUACUGUUUUGGAAAGCGGGAAGACUUUCAGAAGAAAAUACACUAGUUGCAGGAAUUGAUACGCGAAAUAAUAGAUCUUUGUAUCGUCAGCGAAAUACAUAGCUUCCCAAUGCCCCUUUUAACAUCUGCAACCUUGCGACUUAUGACCAGGAUCGGUUGUACACCAGUGGUGGAUGGUAGCUAUCCUGGUCAAGCUAUGCAUCCAACAAAAUUUAACAGCAUUAUCAGCUUUGCAAGGAAUUGAGGCAGUCAAUAUUACCCUUAAACUGGCUAGUGGUCAUGACUGUGAUUACAAUCUAUAAGCCUCCCAGUCGACCUUGUUCGAUCUUGUCGCUCUUUUAGCGCAUGACUUUCCGCCCACUUUAUGCGAGAAUCUUAAACCUUAAACGUUUUAUGUAGGACAGCAACUCACAAACAGGAAAUGCUACAUACUCGAGGCUAACGCUGAGGAACGCGGGUUGAGAGUCCUAGGAUCUCAGUUGCCAACACACGUGACAAGCUAUUGAGGAGCUAAACGAGUUGUCUUCGGAUCAUUUGCCUGUUCCGCUCGAAUUGGGCGAUGAAAGGAGAUAUAUUUUCGGUUUUAGACGAACUGGAACAAAUUUACCGAGUUGCUCGAGAGGACGCUCCCACUAUACUAACGCCACACGAAACUCCGUUGAACUAAACAGUGCUGUUGUCGAAUUGAGCGCGCGGUGACAGAAGCUCACAACAAUGCAAUGACGACACUCAUGGCCUUUUAACGCGCAGAAGACAAACUAGUGCUAAACCGCCUGCACUGGCACAUCAGGAAAAAGCUGAUAGCGCAUAUGAACUGCCACUGGGUAACAAAUUAAACUAAGUGUUAAAAGCUGGUGACAUCGGUGGCGCCUCCUUUUCGGUUUUACAAGCAGGUUAGAAUUCGCGGACAAUCGACUCGGCCACCAAUUUGCAACGCCGAUACCGUAUUACAAAGCGAUGAGGACAAAGCGAAAAAUUUUGUUGGUCACCUAGCUGCUAAGUGUUCGCUGCCGCCCCUUCAACCGUUGUUAACGCCCCCCUUAUGCUUAAUCUUACCUUGAGUGAUACAACUAAUUUUUUGGAGCUGUCUACCACAGCUGAGGUCAAAUCAGUUUUCAAACUACCACAGGAUCGAAAGGCGCCCGGUCUUGACGGCAUCACUAAGCUGAUGCCAAAACAGCUGCCAGAGGCUGCUGUGAAUCAUCUAUGCGGGACCUCGUCAACUCGGUGCUGACCUUCGGCUAUUUUCUCGGGUGAUGGAAAACAGCGGUGUUCGUGAUGUUAUCAAAGACAUCGCACCUGGCAUCAGAACCUCCCAAUUAUCGACCCAACAGCCUUUUACCGGCAGUUGGUAAGGUAGCUGAAACAGUGAUGAACGUUUAUAGGCGUUUUUUUUUUGAACUUUCGGGAUUUAACCAGAGUUUCAGUUUGAAUUUCGCAAGGGACACCUAACGGCCCAUUAAAUUCUUAGCCUAACCGAGUGGACGACUGGAGCCUUUAUUUUAAAAAAGACUUUUACCCAAGUAUGGCAUGGUGUCCUGUUAAGCAAGCUACAUGCUCUGGCGAUAUUGUGUGCCCUUCGAAAAAUUCUCAAGUCGGCCGCUAUUCAAGUGCGAGUAGGCAGGCGCUACACUGUCGUCGCCUCGCUAUCCCACAGCGAAAGGUUCCCAUGAGGCUUCUCUUCUUUCACCGCUGUCUUUCGCAUUCUAUACAAACGAUUUAUUCCUCUUCCAGUGCACCCUCACAAGCGGGUCGCCAUUUCCGCCGAUGAUACGAUGAUUCAUUCAUCGUCAAAGUCACCUGUUUUACUAUGUCAGCGCUUACAAUUUUAUCCCGCCUCACUUUUAGCUGUUGCCGUCAAUGGGACUUCUCCAUGAACGCAGCAAAAAGCAAGGCGCUUCUUAUAACGAAGGAAAAAAAAAACUAGGCGCUGGCGUCUCCGUUUACUUUUAAAGGCAUGAUAAUCCCAUAGUGUUCCAGGUAAAAUAUUUGGGGGUCAUUAUAGAUUCUAAGCUGUCAUGGGCGUCCACACGUAAAUUACAU